UAUUUCUCUUAUUACGUUCACUUCUUCCACAUUGUAUAAUGAAGGUGGAGAUAAGUGUAUGAAAAUAUUUAUUUUAAUCCUCGUGAAAUGGACGUUAUUAUUCAUACCAUGCUCCAAGUUUUUCUUCUUUCUUUUACUUAUGAAAGCAAGAGAGUCGAGAGACCGAGUAAGAAGAUGUCAGCAAUUAAGGACAAUAUCUGUGGAUAAUUGUUACGGGUCACAAAAAAAACCUAAAAAAGAAGAAAGAAAGAGAAACAAAUAUGCAUAUCCGAAGUCGAAAUCGUAAAACAAAAAUACGGAAUUUUUUAUACAGAAUAAACGUUUUCGAUUAUUAGUAUAACUUUGAUGAUCCGAAUUUAAGGGUAGGAAAGUUAUUUUUGGGUAGAAAACAGAAACAUCUUGUUUCCCUUAAGUUUGAUGAAAAGAUAAAAAAAGAAAUAGAAAAAUAAUCGAUUCAGAGGAUCGAUUCGUUGGAUAGAUUAUAAUUGAUAUUUCAAGUUAUUCAAAUAACCGAUGCAUCGUUCUACCUCGCUUCUGCUCUUCUCGUGAAACGAUACCGAUAUCUCGUUGAUAUAUUACUUGCUCGAUGAAAAACAGAAUAACAUUUAUUUAGUUUGAUUUUGCAAUACAAUAAUUAUCGACAGUGAAAAACUGAAUACAACUCUUUCGUUUUGCUAUGUCAAUCCAAAUGUGCAACCGAAAUGCGUUCCUGUCAAGUUUGAAAAUCGAAAAAAAAAUUGAAAAGUCCUGAUAGAAUUACUCCAGUUUGAGCUAAUCGUUACAUAAUUUUGAAUUUUACACCUGAUCGUCAUUUUAAAUUAUCAUUUCAUCUUAUUGUUCAUCUAUCUCGUACCACGAGAGCAAGCAGACAUUUCUCGAUUUUGUUCAACACAGAGAGAAACAGUUCGAAGCAAUGAAUGUUCGUUUAAGAGUUUAUUUACAAGUGGCAACAAAAAUACUAUCACCUCUUCCUGUAUGAUUAUAGUAUGUUAAUAUCUUCGUUAGAUAAACAGGCACGUCAGAAAGAAAUUUCGAUCGACGUAUUCAGCAUAAGAUUAUUGCUUGUUCUUUUUCUUUUCUCUUCGUUCUUUCAUUUCUUUCUUUUUAAAUAGAAACUUUGUAAAAUCAUACGCAGAACUAUAAUCUAAAGUUUGUCUCUACGAUUCGCGAGCAUUUUCACUGAACGCGAAUUGCGUCAUAAUCAAUUUCAUUGAUCGAUUCAUACAACGUGAACAAUCAAUCGACGAGAUCGAAGAAUUGGAAAGAACCAGUGAAUAUUCCUCUUUUUUAGCCAAUAGUAACCGGAUAUUAAACAAAAACAACGUGUACCAGACCAACGUGGUUCAAAAUUUUAUAAUUCAAACUCAUAUGAGCUUAUUUACGAUUGAAAAUAUGUAUAAUUUUCAACAAAUUUCUCAAACAA